rnacentral:rRNA from 1 species
GUUGAACGCUGGCGGCAGGCUUAACACAUGCAAGUCGAGCGGAGCGAGGGUGCUUGCACCUUAGCUUAGCGGCGGACGGGUGAGUAAUGCUUAGGAAUCUGCCUAUUAGUGGGGGGCAACAUUCCGAAAGGAAUGCUAAUACCGCAUACGCCCUACGGGGGAAAGCAGGGGAUCUUCGGACCUUGCGCUAAUAGAUGAGCCUAAGUCGGAUUAGCUAGUUGGUGGGGUAAAGGCCUACCAAGGCGACGAUCUGUAGCGGGUCUGAGAGGAUGAUCCGCCACACUGGGACUGAGACACGGCCCAGACUCCUACGGGAGGCAGCAGUGGGGAAUAUUGGACAAUGGGCGGAAGCCUAAUCCAGCCAUGCCGCGUGUGUGAAGAAGGCCUUUUGGUUGUAAAGCACUUUAAGCGAGGAGGAGGCUACUUAGAUUAAUACUCUGGGAUAGUGGACGUUACUCGCAGAAUAAGCACCGGCUAACUCUGUGCCAGCCGCCGCCGUAACAC